UACGGAGGGUGCGAGCGUUGUCCGGAAUCAUUGGGCGUAAAGGGCGCGUAGGUGGCCCGGUCAGUCUUUGGUGAAAGCGCGGGGCUCAACCCUGCGUCGGCCAGGGAUACUGCCGCGGCUCGAGCACUGUAGAGGCAGGCGGAAUUCGGGUGGUAGCGGUGGAAUGCGUAGAGAUCCGGAAGAACACCGGUGGCGAAGGCGGCCUGCUGGGCAGUUGCUGCACUGAGGCGCGACAGCG
rnacentral:rRNA from 1 species